UAUUGGACAAUGGGGGGAACCCUGAUCCAGCGACGCCGCGUGAGUGAAGAAGUAUUUCGGUAUGUAAAGCUCUAUCAGCAGGGAAGAAAGAAAUGACGGUACCUGACUAAGAAGCCCCGGCUAACUACGUGCCAGCAGCCGCGGUAAUACGUAGGGGGCAAGCGUUAUCCGGAUUUACUGGGUGUAAAGGGAGCGUAGACGGCAUAGCAAGUCUGAAGUGAAAGCCCAAGGCUCAACCAUGGGACUGCUUUGGAAACUGUUAAGCUAGAGUGCUGGAGAGGUAAGCGGAAUUCCUAGUGUAGCGGUGAAAUGCGUAGAUAUUAGGAAGAACACCAGUGGCGAAGGCGGCUUACUGGACAGUAACUGACGUUGAGGCUCGAAAGCGUGGGGAGCAAACA
rnacentral:rRNA from 1 species